UACGUAGGCAGCAAGCGUUGUUCGGAGUUACUGGGCGUAAAGGGUGCGUAGGCGGCUUUUUAAGUUUGGUGUGAAAUCUCCCGGCUCAACUGGGAGGGUGCGCCGAAUACUGAGAGGCUAGAGUGUGGGAGAGGAAAGUGGAAUUCCUGGUGUAGCGGUGAAAUGCGUAGAUAUCAGGAGGAACACCGGUGGUGUAAAGCGGUCUUC
rnacentral:rRNA from 1 species